AUGCAAGGGGAGCCAAAUAUUACUGAGGUGCUCGUGCCUGCAGAAAUUGAUGCCUUAAUCAGCGAGUUUGAGCACCUGUUCGCGGAGCCGAAGGGACUGCCAUCGCAGCGUUCAUUCAAUCACACCAUACCCUCUUCCGGGAGCAAAGCCAGUCAAUGUUCGUCCGUACCAUUACAGUCCAGCUCAAAAGGACGAGAUCGAGAGACAGGUAGCAGACAUGCUUGCGUAGGGGAUUAUUGCGCCUAG
rnacentral:rRNA from 1 species